AUGGUUCCACGAGCUCGCGGACGGAGCUGCAGCGUGAGAGGAGAACCAGGGCUCGGGCAUAGGGACUUGGCGAGGCGGCGGCUUCCUGAGGCGGAUGAAGGAGGAAGUAGACGGACGACCAUGGCAGCGCUAGUCGCCAGCCUCAGGCCGCGUGACCCGUGGGCAGGCAGCGAGGGCGAGGAAGGCAGCACGCUCGGGGAAGGGCCGUCACGGGCGACGGUAGUGGCAUGGGACGCGCGGCAGCGAGGUUUCAUGGUCAUGGGGAUUGGGAUCCGCCCCCUGGUCGCGCUGAGAAGGUGA
rnacentral:rRNA from 1 species